ACUAGGGAUAGAUACCCUAUUAUUAAAUUUAAAUAAAUUAUUAUAAUUAUUAUAAAAAAAAAAUUAAAAAAUUUGACAGUAUUUUUAAAAAUUAGAGGAUUUUGUUAUAUAAUAGAUACCACACUUUAUGAUAUACUUAAAUUUUAUAUUGUAUAUUGUUGUCGUAAAUAAAUAUUAUUUAAAAAUUAUUUAUUUUAUUUUUAAUAUUAAAAUAAGUCAAAUCAUCAUGCAUAUUAUAUUUAAGUUUUAAAUGAAAUACAUUUAUUUAAAAAUUUAAUGAAUUUUAAUUUUUAAUAGUUAAAUGCAAUUGGAUUUAAUAGUAAAAUUUAAGAGAUUUUAAUUUUGGAUUAUUUUUAAAAUAUGUACAUAU
rnacentral:rRNA from 1 species